rnacentral:rRNA from 1 species
CGAAAGUGUGGGUAGCAAACAGGAUUAGAUACCCUGGUAGUCCACACCGUAAACGAUGAUUACUAGGUGUUGGGCAGUGCCGCAGUUAACACAAUAAGUAAUCCACCUGGGGAGUACGACCGCAAGUUGAAACUCAAAGGAAUUGACGGGGGCCCGCACAAGCAGUGGAGUAUGUGGUUUAAUUCGACGCAACGCGAAGAACCUUACCAAGUCUUGACAUCAGGUGGUGCAUGGUUGUCGUCAGCUCGUGUCGUGAGAUGUUGGGUUAAGUCCCGCAACGAGCGCAACCCUUAUGGUCAGUUACGACUCUGGCCAGACUGCCGUUGACAAAACGAGGAAGGUGGGGAUGACGUCAAAUCAUCAUGCCCUUUAUGACUUGGGCUACACACGUACUACAAUGGGUUAAACAAAGAGAAGCAAGACCGCGAGGUGGAGCAAAACUCAGAAACAACUCCCAGUUCGGACUGCAGGCUGCAACUCGCCUGCACGAAGUCGGAAUUGUUAGUAAUCGUGGAUCAGA